rnacentral:rRNA from 1 species
UACAGAGGGUGCAAGCGUUGUUCGGAAUUAUUGGGCGUAAAGCGCGUGUAGGCGGCUUUGCAAGUCGGGUGUGAAAGCCCUCAGCUCAACUGAGGAAGUGCGCCCGAAACUGCAGAGCUCGAGUACCGGAGAGGAUGGUGGAAUUCCCCAAGUAGAGGUGAAAUUCGUAGAUAUGGGGAGGAACACCGGUGGCGAAGGCGACCAUCUGGACGGAUACUGACGCUGAGACGCGAAAGCGUGGGUAGCAAACAGG